UACGAAGGGGGCUAGCGUUGCUCGGAAUUACUGGGCGUAAAGCGUGCGCAGGCGGUUAUGUAAGACAGAUGUCGAAAUGCCCGGGCUUAACCUGGGAACUGCAUUUGUGACUGCAUGGCUAGAGUUUGGCAGAGGGGGGUGAGAAUUCCACGUGUAGCAGUGAAAUGCGUAGAUAUCAAGUGGAACACCAGUGGCCGAAGGCGAGUCCCUGACAUUUCCUGACACUGAGGCACGAAAGCUAGGGGAGCAAACAGG
rnacentral:rRNA from 1 species